UAACAAGGUUUCCGUAGGUGAACCUGCGGAAGGAUCAUUGUCGAGUUCCGUGCAGAUAAAUGACCCGCGAACGAGUUAUUAACCAAGAGCCGGGCCAGUGCCUGACCGUCCUCGGUUGACGCACGAUCCCGGCACCCAAAACGUACCCCCGGCGCGGAAUGCGCCAAGGAACAUGAACAAGAGGGACGCGUGAACCCCGCAAUUCCCCCUAGAGGGGAAGCCGGGGCGACCGUGCUGUCUCAAGAGUUAACAUAAAAACGACUCUCGGCAACGGAUAUCUCGGCUCUCGCAUCGAUGAAGAACGUAGCGAAAUGCGAUACUUGGUGUGAAUUGCAGAAUCCCGUGAACCAUCGAGUCUUUGAACGCAAGUUGCGCCCGAAGCCUUCUGGCCGAGGGCACGUCUGCCUGGGUGUCACGCGACAAGCCGCCCCUAAAAUCGUAGUUCGAGCUGCGAUUGGGUGCGGAAGUUGGCCUCCCGUUGCUCCGAUGCUGCGGCUGGCCCAAAAGCGAGCAGUGGAGCGGCGUACUCCGCGACGCGCGGUGGUGCUGAAAAAUUGCCCCUCGGGCAUCGAGUCCGGACCGUCUCUCCAGCGUUGCUCUGCGGCCUUCAAAAAAAGAAAACACAAGCGACCCCAGGUCAGGCGGGGCUACCCGCUGAGUUUAAGCAUAUCAAUAAG
rnacentral:rRNA from 1 species